AUUGAACGCUGGCGGCAUGCUUUACACAUGCAAGUCGAACGGUAACAGGCCGCAAGGUGCUGACGAGUGGCGAACGGGUGAGUAAUGCAUCGGAACGUGCCCAGUCGUGGGGGAUAACUGCUCGAAAGAGCAGCUAAUACCGCAUACGAUCUAUGGAUGAAAGCGGGGGACCGUAAGGCCUCGCGCGAUUGGAGCGGCCGAUGUCAGAUUAGGUAGUUGGUGGGGUAAAGGCUCACCAAGCCAACGAUCUGUAGCUGGUCUGAGAGGACGACCAGCCAAACGGGGACUGAGAAACGGCCAAGACUCCUACGGGAGGAAGCAGUGGGGAAUUUUGGAAAAUGGGGGCAACCCUGAUCCAGCAAUGCCGCGUGCAGGAAGAAGGCCUUCGGGUUGUAAACUGCUUUUGUACGGAACGAAACGGUCUGGGUUAAUACCCUGGGCUAAUGACGGUACCGUAAGAAUAAGCACCGGCUAACUACGUGCCAGCAGCCGCCGUAACAC
rnacentral:rRNA from 1 species